UCACUUCCAUCCCCAUAACAUAGUUAAUUUCAUCACAGACACUGUGAUAUAAAGAAUACCUACAGUGCUGCUUCAAGAACCAGGUGACAAAAUCUAGCACAGAGGUGGCCUUGCUUCUGCAGUUGAGCCAGCCCAGUUCUUGCUUAUUGGUGGGCAGCUUCAGGAGCACUGAGAGACAGUCCUUGUGACACCAGCACCGAUUCCCUUACCAAGAAUUUCUGCAAGAGUGGAGGGACAAGCUCCCUGCUGCAAGGGAUGUAAGAGUUCGACCUGCAGGAGGUUUGGGGACAAGAACAAAGACAAACCUUACGGAGCACUUAUGAACUACCCCGCAGAGAAUCCUACAAAUAUGGGAAGUAGAUGAGACGUUUUUAGGAGUCUGGGGGCCCAGUGAGGGCAGAAGGGGCUAAAUUUGUACCAUUAACAUCAUAGGAAUCCAAUCCAUAGCCCAAGCUGGUGAGAGGUUUUUUUUCCGCCGGCCUGGGCCACAGCCACAGCAACACCAGAUCCGAGCUGCGUCUGCUACCUACACCACAGCUCAUGGCAGUGCUGGCUCCUCAACCCACUGAGUGAGGCCAGGAGUCGAACCCUCAUUCUCAUGGUUCCUAGUCGGGUUUGUUAACCGCUGAGCCACUAUGGGAACUCCUGGUAAGAGUUUUAAAGACUGACUUUUGGCAAACAGGUUUUAGCUAACAGACAACUUUUCGAAAGCUUUGUGAUUUGGAGUAUACUCUCUGAUCGAAGGCAAAAAAGUUCAUUCUUCUUUGAGUUCAUAUUAAUGGCAGAGUUUUGUACUUGUCUUGAGAGAGAUUACAUGAGCAAUAUGAACACAUAUCUAUUCUAUUUGCCGUCACCCUUUCACUUUCCUUCCCUCAGUAGCGGAGAAUAAAGACAUCAACCAACACUCAAAAAAGACUAAUAUUUUCUGAACGCUGUUGCAAGAGAAUACUGUGCUAAGCACUAUGUGGGGAUUUUUGAAAAUAAAACGCAAGUACUACUAAGUGACCUGCACUUGGUCAAACCACGAGAUUAACUAAUGCUGCUCCACUUCGUCUAUAAAACACAUAGACUGAUGCUGGGACCUUUUAAUGCUUACUCAUGGGCUAUACCAUAGCCCAGCUCUGUACAUUUAUCCUUCCUGCUGCUGAGUUCUCAUCACCAAGAGCCAUUCAUUCCCUUCAUUAGGAGUGUCUGAAUGCCUUCAAUGGGAUAAGCACCAUUCUAAGAGCCAGGGGCACAGCAGUGAAUAAAGCAGACAGAAAUCCCGCCCUUAUGAGGCUUACAUAAAAAGCAAUUGUUCUCAUUUUCUAAACUCUUAAUACAAGUUAUUCUUGCUAGUGUACUUAGGUAAUUUUUGUUUGUUUGUUUGUUCUGAGGUAGACCAACAGCUUUAUUGAAAGGUCAGAGCAAAGGUCCCACCCCCACACCCUACCCCAGUCCUGGCAGCGUCGGCGUCAGGCUCUGAGCAUCCAGGCGUCCUGUAGGCCCUAAUUUAAUUUUUACAUACUUUAUUAAGUAUAAGUGUAAAAAAUAUUUCCCCAUUGAAAAUAAAGUUGAAAUUUUUAUAACAUUAAUAUUUAUCACUUUACAUGAAUACUGUACUGAAAGCCCAAUGAAGCUGAAAUUUUGAAAUGGUCAAAGUGGUAAAUUUUAUGUGAUGUAUAUUUUAUCACAAUUUAAAAAAAAAAUGAGUUGAAUGGGGAGCUCCCAUCGUGGCGCAGUGGUUAACAAAUCUGACUAGGAACCAUGAGGUUGCAGGUUCGAUCCCUGGCCUUGCUCCAUGGGUUAAGGAUCUGGCAUUGCCAUGAGCUGUGGUGUAGGUCGCAGACGCGGUUUGGAUCUCAAGUUGCUGUGGCUCUGGUGCAGGCCGGUGGCUAUAGCUCCAAUUCGGUCCCUAGCCUGGGAACUUCCAUAUGCUGAGGGAGCGGCCCUAGAAAAGGCAAAAAGAUCAAAAAAAAAGAGUUGAAUGCUACAGAAAGACAAAUUACUGCCAUAAAUUACCAGAAGCAAGAAAACUGGAUUAUACAAAUAUAGAAAGACUCCAAAGUCACAUUAUUUCACAAGAGUCCUCAGGUUCUAUGUUUCUUUUAAUAAAAAAGAAAACAGAAAAUUAUAGAUUUUGCAUAUGGGAAGGAUUUACAUUAAAAAAAAAAAAAAAAAAAAAGAUAACCUAGAACUCUAAUAUUCAUGGCCAGAAAGGCCUUGGCCCAGCAUCAAAGGAUUUGCUAAUGAAAGUGUAGUCCAAAGUCUUUAGUAAAAGCUAGAUGCUUGGAGUUCCUGUCGUGGCUCAGUGGUUAACGAAUCCGACUGGGAACCAUGAGUUGCAAGUGCGGCGGCGGUCGGGGGGCGUUUUCCCCUCCGCCUAAAAUCAGGAGUCCACCCCGCCGGGGCAGGAACGCUGCUGCGUGGCGGUCAACCUGAGCGCCC
rnacentral:lncRNA from 1 species